GGAUUGGACCCAUAUGGCACCGAGCUGUUUCUGUUGAAAAAGAACUAUUUUUUCUCUUUUCCAUAGACGAAUUGCUGGAAAUGGUGGAACGUGAAAAUCGAUGAUUUUCCGUCUACGGAACAGCUUUGAGUUGGACAAGAUGGAGGACCUAAUAUGAGAUUCUACUAUGCACCAGAAUGAUAAACUGAGGAUUAUGAGUAAAAAUAAAAAGAUGAAGUUGUACAGAAAGGGCAGUUUAAAUAAAUUAUUACAUAAUUUGUAGCAAGGCUGCUUGAGCACCGGAUCAUCAUUUGGUGUUGGAGGAUCCUGACCGAAAAUCAUUUCGCAGCUCAUAUCAUCAAAAUCUGCAGUUAAAGUGGAUUACUGUUUCUGUUAACUGUUCUGAUGGAUUGGCUUCAUUCAUCUUUAUCAUGGCCACUUCUCAACUAAAAUGGAGUGUAAAUAGUAAUGAUCUUCUGCUUCUCAUGAAUGAUAGGUUCUGAAUGACUGUAUACUUACUUGGAACCAUGUUGAGUGGCAUUCCUAGGGAAUCCUUAAUAAAGGCUUGAGAUGGCAUCUUGCAUAGGUUGAUGCACAUUCCUACACAGUUGCUUUGCUCUAGGAACCUACAAAGAAAGCAGAUAUUAGAGGAUUACCAAGAUGAUCUAAGGGUGAUGCAAAGUUUAACAAUGAUUUUGAUAUUUCCGACGAGGAUGAUGAUGACGACGAUGACCAUCAUGAUAGCAAUGGACAAAAACAGGAGUCCACCACACAAUCAUUGGAACAGGUUAUUUACCGUAUGAGAGUUUCUUUAAAUUGGUGAGGUGGGUCUCCAUCUUGGAUUAGACCAUAGUGCUAAUUAUUGUACAUAAUUGAGAGGUUUGGUAUAAUUACCUGCACUUUUUCACAUACACUACAUUCUUUUCUCUUCUUCCGUUGAGCUCCGAUUCCCGAACCUUGUGGCAUUGAUUCCAUAAGAAUGUUAGAUUUCUUUCACAAA